rnacentral:rRNA from 1 species
CCUACGGGUGGCAGCAGUGGGGAAUAUUGGACAAUGGGCGAAAGCCUGAUCCAGCCAUGCCGCGUGUGUGAAGAAGGCCUUCGGGUUGUAAAGCACUUUCAGUGGGGAAGAAAGCCUUGGGGCUAAUACCCUCGAGGAAGGACAUCACCCACAGAAGAAGCACCGGCUAACUCCGUGCCAGCAGCCGCGGUAAUACGGAGGGUGCGAGCGUUAAUCGGAAUUACUGGGCGUAAAGCGCGCGUAGGCGGUCUGAUAAGCCGGUUGUGAAAGCCCCGGGCUCAACCUGGGAACGGCAUCCGGAACUGUCAGGCUAGAGUGCAGGAGAGGAAGGUAGAAUUCCCGGUGUAUCGGUGAAAUGCGUAGAGAUCGGGAGGAAUACCAGUGGCGAAGGCGGCCUUCUGGACUGACACUGACGCUGAGGUGCGAAAGCGUGGGUAGCAAACAGGAUUAGAUACCCGAGUAGUC